ACAUUGCGAGUGCUACUGAAGAUUGUUUGCCCUGGUGAACUCUGGGAUCCCAAGAGACUUACCUCAAGACUCCACAAGCCUUAACUUGCGGGGGCAGCAGUCUCAGCAGGGAAGCCCAGACAGUCCUUUCCUCACCUACGUCCACCAGGUCGUCUGGGGGAUACCAAGGCGUUCCCAGGGCUGUCAACUCUCCUCAUCCGAAUAUCCCAUUUCCCACUUCUCCCUGAGGACUCGCAUCAUGCCUGCAGCUAACAUCUAUUGGAAAUAUCAUCCACCUGGACUUUAACCUUCCUGACCUCUCACCCCUGGGGACUUUGACAUACUGGCCAAUCAAGAGCCUCAUUGGUCACGUGUGGCCACAGAUGCUCAUGACAGUUCUAGCCUAUGCUGUAGCAGAGCAUGAGCCGAUACAUAAUUCAUAAAGUCAAGUCAAAUGGCCUUGAGCAAUGCUGCUGAGAAAGUUAAGUGUAGAAAGCAGCCAACCAGGGGGAGGUCUUUGUGCCGCUGCCAGCUCAACAGUUCGCAUGUUGGAAAAUUUGAUCUUGGAGCUAAUUGAACUUGAUGUGAGUCGAGGAAAAGUGCAUCGUGGUGCGCAUCAAAAAGCAGCAGGAUUUAGCUUGAUGUUCCUAAAGUGAAGUGCUUUUUAAAAAUGGCUGCUCUAAGAGAUUUCUUGUGAGUCCCCAGGUGUGUGUCUGUGUGAGCAAUAGUAGGUUCAGUUGUCACUCACAUAUGCCUGACCUCUGUUUUUUUAUUAUGUUGCAUUCCACAGUCAAUCCACAGUCAAGCACGUGCACAUAAACACACAACUAUAACUGUACUGUAAACAAAAUCAUCAGUAGACUGUGAAAUAUGGGAAAGGAAAUGACGAGUUGAAUGGUAAAUAAGGAGUGGACAGGGAGCUUCAGUAAGGGCACCAUGUUUUCUGAACAUCUCCCAAACCAGUGGGCGGAAGGAGAGGGGUGAGAAGGGGAACGAAUUAUUAAAAUGUGCCACGGCCACAAAGUGCUCUUGGAGUAAUUAAGUCGACAGCAGUUUGGCUCCAGCAGCUCCAUUUUGAGUGUGUAAUGUAUUUCAAUAAUGACAGCGCGUGGCGGCAAACUGGCUUGUCGUCACGCUCUCUCUCCCAGCUAAUCCUGUUACUGCUGACCACUCUGACAGGGCGUGAGUCCAACCCUGCUGCCUGCCACUUUUCUGGGGAAGGAGGGAUGAGGGAGGAGAUGGACAGGGGGAGAA